rnacentral:rRNA from 1 species
UACGUAGGGUCCGAGCGUUUGUCCGGAAUUACUGGGCGUAAAGAGCUCGUAGGUGGUUUGUCGCGUUGUUCGUGAAAACUCACAGCUCAACUGUGGGCGUGCGGGCGAUACGGGCAGACUUGAGUACUGCGGGGGAGACUGGAAUUCCUGGUGUAGCGGUGGAAUGCGCAGAUAUCAGGAGGAACACCGGUGGCGAAGGCGGGUCUCUGGGCAUUAACUGACGCUGAGGAGCGAAAGCAUGGGGGAGCAAACAGG